AUCGAACGCUGGCGGCAGGCUUAACACAUGCAAGUCGAGCGGGGUGAUGGUGCUUGCACUAUCACUUAGCGGCGGACGGGUGAGUAAUGCUUAGGAAUCUGCCUAUUAGUGGGGGACAACAUCUCGAAAGGGAUGCUAAUACCGCAUACGUCCUACGGGAGAAAGCAGGGGAUCACUUGUGACCUUGCGCUAAUAGAUGAGCCUAAGUCGGAUUAGCUAGUUGGUGGGGUAAAGGCCUACCAAGGCGACGAUCUGUAGCGGGUCUGAGAGGAUGAUCCGCCACACGGGGACGGAGACACGGCCCAGACUGCUACGGGAGGAAGCAGUGGGGAAUAUUGGACAAUGGGGGGAACCCUGAUCCAGCCAUGCCGCGUGUGUGAAGAAGGCCUUAUGGUUGUAAAGCACUUUAAGCGAGGAGGAGGCUCUUUUGGUUAAUACCCAAGAUGAGUGGACGUUACUCGCAGAAUAAGCACCGGCUAACUCUGUGCCAGCAGCCGCGGUAA
rnacentral:rRNA from 1 species